rnacentral:rRNA from 1 species
UACGUAGGGUGCGAGCGUUGUCCGGAAUUAUUGGGCGUAAAGAGCUCGUAGGCGGUGUGUCGCGUCGGUCGUGAAAACUUGGGGCUUAACCCUGAGCUUGCGGUCGAUACGGGCAUCACUGGAGUUCGGCAGGGGAGACUGGAAUUCCUGGUGUAGCGGUGAAAUGCGCAGAUAUCAGGAGGAACACCGGUGGCGAAGGCGGGUCUCUGGGACGGUACUGACGCUGAGACGCGAAAGCGUGGGGAGCGAACAGGAUUAAGAAACC